rnacentral:rRNA from 1 species
UACGUAGGGUGCAGGCGUUAAUCGGAAUUACUGGGCGUAAAGCGUGCGCAGGCGGUGAUGUAAGACAGAUGUGAAAUCCCCAGGCUUAACCUGGGAACUGCAUCCGAUACUGGAUGGCUUGAAUCCGGGAGAGGGAUGCAGAAUUCCAGGUGUAGCGGUGAAAUGCGUAGAUAUCUGGAGGAAUACCGGUGGCGAAGGCGGCAUCCUGGACCGGCAUUGACGCUGAGGAGCGAAAGCUAGGGGAGCAAACGGG